CAAAAUGAAGACUUUUGCUGGCUUCUGAGCAGAUGAAAGAUGUGGCCUUGUUUUCAGAACCAAGCGAGGUCUGCAAAGGGCAGUGAGAAAACAAGAGACAGAGGCAUCCUUGAGGAGACCACAGAGAUCGUCAGCUGCUCAAGCAGGACUUUGUGCCUGGGCAAAGGCAGAAGCCAGUUGGACUGCCAGAUUUUUGUUUUCCAGUUCCCAUGGCCAACCUUCAGUGUGCCCCUGAAGAGGACUGGAGGGCCAAAAGCUGUAUCCAAGGGCAAGGCCAUCAUCUGCAGCCCUCCUGGUCUUGGGCUCUGUCCUGGUUCAGGUCCCAGCUCUGGCAUUACAAACCCAGCGGUGCGUGAACCGGGGACAAUAACAGCUGGGGAGCUGCUGCGCUGCGGAUGGGCCCUUGGGAAGAGAGAGACGUGCCUGCAUGAAAGAGGUUUUCACUUGAAAGAGGGAAAACGCGGAUUGCAGAGGGGGGAGGAAGGGCUGCUGCUCAGCCUCCAGCAGCAGAGGGGCAGCAGGGUGCUGAACAGAGGUGGUGGCACUGCCACGCUCAGGGCUGGGUGCUCCGCCAGCCUGCUAGAAGCAAGGCUUGGACCCUUCCCUUGCCGGCCACUGCCCCCGGGGAGGGAUGAGGGGGUCAAAGAUUGCAGCUCAGGCAUUGUGCUCUGUUUUCUCGGUCCUUGGGGCAUUGCAGGGCUGCCAGACGUCUCACCCUCGGGUCAGGGCGGCAGCGGGCGCUGCCGGGCUGGUGACUGCGUGGGCAGGGAGGAGUUGCCCUUGCACAGCUAAAUGCCAGUGGCUGCAUUGGGCAGCUCCAGGAAGUUGCAAAAUGAGAGAGACAUCAGGAUAUAUGAGCUGGAGUCUUGCCCAAAGGCUUUCGUUUAAUUGUAAUGGUUCCUUCUAUAUAAAGUCACUUUUUUUUUGUGUGUGGCUUUGCAGCUGUGGACAAUCGAUGCUGCGGCAGCAUCGUGAUACCAUCAGGGUUUACCAAUGCAGCUUAUGUAGAAAUAAACAUUAUUUUUGGUACA
rnacentral:lncRNA from 1 species